GCUCCCGUAGUCUAGCGGUCAAGGAUUCAGGCCUUUCGAGCCUGAGACUCGGGUUCAAAUCCCGACGGGAGCA
rnacentral:tRNA from 1 species